UCCUACGGGGGGCAGCAGUGAGGAAUAUUGGUCAAUGGGCGGAAGCCUGAACCAGCCAAGUCGCGUGAGAGAAUAAGGCCCUACGGGUCGUAAACCUCUUUUGCCGGGGAGCAAGGGCGGGGACGUGUCCCGGCCCGGAGAGUACCCGGAGAAAAAGCAUCGGCUAACUCCGUGCCAGCAGCCGCGGUAAUACGGAGGAUGCGAGCGUUAUCCGGAUUUAUUGGGUUUAAAGGGUGCGUAGGCGGGCUUUU
rnacentral:rRNA from 1 species